rnacentral:rRNA from 1 species
GACGUAGGGCGCGAGCGUUGUCCGGAUUUAUUGGGCGUAAAGAGCUCGUAGGCGGCUUGUCGCGUCGACUGUGAAAGCCCGCGGCUCAACCGCGGGUCUGCAGUCGAUACGGGCAGGCUAGAGUUCGGUAGGGGAGACUGGAAUUCCUGGUGUAGCGGUGAAAUGCGCAGAUAUCAGGAGGAACACCGAUGGCGAAGGCAGGUCUCUGGGCCGAUACUGACGCUGAGGGGCGAAAGCGUGGGGAGCGAACAGG